rnacentral:misc_RNA from 1 species
GUGAAAAAUUAUGUAAUUCAAAGCAACUAUUUUAUAAAUUUUAAGUUAAAUAUGUAUAUAAAUUCAAAUAAUAAAUUAAAAAGAUUAAAUUACUCUAAUUCGCCUUGAUUUAACUUUUAAUGUAUUGCGACAAAGCCUAUUUUCUUGUAACAAUUAUAUAUAUUAGGUAUCCUAUUUAAUGAAAAUAAUUCUUUUUAUUCUCUAUAUUAUUUAUUUUCCUUUCAAAUGCUUUCUAUUUUUGCUUUGCUUAACUUUUAUAGAAUUCACUAAUAUAGGUGUUUCAGUACGUAAAUGUAUCGCAUUCGGAUACGAAUAAUCGAAAACGUGACACAAGGGGGGUAGGAGGGAUUUAGGUAACACUGGGUGAGUCAUUUUGGACAAAGAUUCUAUCAGAGCAAUAUUUGCCAAAAUGAAAUUUGUUUUCUUUUACGAAUAGAAACAUGUACAAUUCCUUAAUGGGAUAUUUGAAUUUUAAACUUGUGUAAUAGGUAUUAAACCAACAAAUUUUAUGAGAAUGCAACCUUUUGUUAGCAAUUUUCCAUUGGUUUACCCCUCAGGUUGUUAUUAUACCCAAAUUAUUGACG